CCUUCUCAAACAUUCUGUUUGGUAGUGAGUGAUACUCUUUGGAGUUAACUUGAAAUUGCUGGCCUUUUCAUUGGAUGUUUUUUUUCCAAAGAGAGGUUUCUCUGCGUGCUUGAGGUAUAAUGCAAGUACGGUCGUUUUAGGUUUUACCAACUGCGGCUAAUCUUUUUUGUACUGAGCGUAUUGGAACGUUAUCGAUAAGAAGAGAGCGUCUAGGCGAACAAUGUUCUUAAAGU
rnacentral:rRNA from 1 species